GCCCCGAGGCCUCUCGUCCUGGCAAGGGGCACCCUGAGGCAGCAAAGCCCGGCGCGGCAGAGAGACCUGCCCAGGGGCUCGGCCAGGGGCAGAUGAGGGUAGCGGUUAAAGCCAAUCCCCCCGGCCCGGCCCGGCCCGGCCCGGGAGAAGCGCGCUCUGGGUGGGCGGCUUCACAGGGACAGAGGGACAGACAGACGGACAACGCCCGAGGAGAGCAUCAGCUCAGGAAAGUUUAUGCUACAUGUUAAAUAGACGGCACCUGAUAAAUGAGCUUGAGCUCAGGGAAGGUUAUGCUGUAGACAGACAGAUUAGCAUGGACAGCACCUGACUAGGUCAGAUGCCUCCCUGACCUGCUGCUGGUGUUUCCUGAUUCAGCUUGCUGGCUCAGCCUGAGCCUUAGGGUGACUUACUGCUUUUGGUCUCUUCUGUGUUCAUAUAUUGUCUCUGUGACCAUGCACGGCUCUAGCCUACAGUGCUACUGUGGCACAACCAGUUCUGUGGUAAGUGCUUGCAUCAGGUAGCUGCUGAAGAACAUGUUCUCUGGCAGCUCAUAAUGAACAGCUUUCCCUGCCAGAAGCUCUCACCAGUGCUGCUCUAUGCUUAAAGUAACAGGAGAUGUUGGCUGUCUGUUACACUCAGGUACAAAAAAUGUUUUUAUGGCACCUAAUAAACUAUUAGUGAUGGGGGCUGCUGGGUAAUAUUGCAGUACAAAUAAUAAUAUGCUCAGUAAAUCAGCCUCAAGGCACACACGUAGUCUAAUUAGUUUCAGGCAGAUUACUUUUUGACAAAUACUGUUGAGUUAACUGGACUUCCAGUCCUACAAAGUAUUUCACAGGUCUAGUAAAUUCAAGCUACUUAAUGGUACUUAUACUGUUUCCCUGCUCCCAUAUAGUUGCAUACUGAAAGUUAUAUGCAUUGUACAUAGAAGUCUGACAACCUGCUGAGUCAAGUCAUUAUAACAAAUCUUAUGGAUAAGAAAUAUAAAACUAUGAAGAUAGGGCUGUCUUUAUGCAAACAAAGGUCACGUGCAGCACAACAUCAGUGUUUACCAUAGAUUAACUAUAGUCUAUAUUAUUUGAAAGCUUAUCCAAGAAGUUAUCUUACAUUCUCAGAGUUCCUCUGAGUGCCAGAAGAGCUGUUAACAGAACUCAGGAUUCAUAGCCAUUAAUCCACAUUUCUUACAAUGCUGAGACUGACUUUAGGAUCCCAUCCUGCAAACUGAAGAAUGCAAGUAAUGUUACUCUUCUGAUUGGUCUUAUGGGACUUCUGUUGUACUAUACCCCACUUCAUUUCACUUACUGAAAUAUUGAGUACAUUUCUGUCUUUUUAUAACAACAUCUUAAUGGGACUAGUUUUAGGAAUAAAGUUGUUCACGUACUUAAACAUUUGUAGCACUGGAAUUAUUGGCCUUCUCCACAGGUAUAAGAAUUCUACUAGUUUUUAACUAAAUUGAUCUGAUAUAGUUAAGUUGGCAUAAAACCACAUGUCA